rnacentral:lncRNA from 1 species
CCUCGUUUACAAAUGCUGGACUGGGAUCACCAGUGUUAUCGUUUGUCUGCAGUCGAGGCCAGCUGCACGUCACCGCCUGUUGUCUUGUGCGCACGUCACCCGGUUUCUGCGCACGGGUUGUUGCCUCCGUUGUCUUGUGCGCACGGUUCCUCACUUUCUUGCUAAGCCACCAUGGCUACGUCACCACCAGUCAUCUGCUGUAAAGAAUCUGACAUCGCAGGGAAGAGGUGCCAAUUGCACCGAAGCAGACCGGGUGAUCAAUGUCGCAUCAUGCUCAGGUUGACGAUGUAAACAUGUCGUGGUGCUUACAGCUAAGCAUGCUGAGCUCGUCGUCUCGGACUUACUGUCGUGUUGUGACUGCUUGUACAAGACUAAGCCUCUUCAGGAAAGAGUGUCAAGAGUGGCCGCUCGUGCCAAUGUUCCCAGACGUGUCCCUGUCGGUCUGCUGGUUGUGCGGGGAUCCCAGACAGGAUGGCCGCCGCACCGUGUGAAGGUUGUACCGAAGGGAUCCAAGUAUGCUCUGUACCUGGAAAUUGUACUUGCAGUAAGAAGUGUACAGGGAAGCUGUAGUCAGUACAGAGCACUAUCCUCGACAAGCUCAGUCAUGGCGGACAAAGUUCAUUUUGAAAAGCUUGGCUGAAUCUUUCUUUCCAAUUAAAAAAAAAGGCGGUCUACGUCUGGAACUGUCUGUCGACGGGACAGCAGUAGAUGUUAAUUAGGUCUACGUAACAAGCAAUCUUUUAUUCACGAACUAAAAACAUCGCACUAAAAUGUGUACACUUGUGGAGUGAGGUGAGGACUCCUCUAUCUCAUAACUUCCAUUUCAAAAAGUUUAUUUAGGAUUAUAAAAUAUAUUUGUAUGUGUUAGAGAUAUCUUAUCAUGUUUUAUAGUUAUUUUUCUUGUCCAUUUUUAUCUUUGAGUCUGAUAAUUACGAUAAUUUAUUAAUUUAGAGAGUCACUUACACAAGGAAACGUCUAGUAGAGGUGAAGGGGUAGUCCGCUAAGUACCCUCCAUUUCAGCUAACUUGGACAUAGAAGUGUACUGAGACAGAAAUCGUUGGCGUAUUGAAAAACAGUGUGCUUUGUAUUUGAGUGUCACCUGUUGUGUUGUUUGUAGACCUCGCUUGUUGGAGUGGGGGAGGGGAUAUGAAUUAGCUUGCAGUUUCACC